rnacentral:rRNA from 1 species
UACGUAGGGUCCGAGCGUUAUCCGGUAUUAUUGGGCGUAAAGAGCGCGUAGGCGGUCUGAUAAGACAAUGGUUAAAGAUCCAUGCUCAACAUGGAGAGUGCCGUUGUGACUGUGAGACUAGACGAUAGCAGGGGCAAGCAGAAUUCUCGGUGUAGGAGUGAAAUCCGUUGAGAUCGAGAGGAAUACCAAUGGCGAAGGCAGCUUGCUAGGCUAUAGGUGACGCUGAGGCGCGAAAGCGUGGGGAGCGAACGGG